UGAACUGGUUUUUGCGGCAGGCCGCGGCUGCCCAAGCAGGGUCUGUCGGAGGCGGCGGCGGCGGCGCGGCUGCGGGCGCUGCCGGCCCAGCACGACCACGGCUACAGCGGGAACGGGCUCAGGCUCCCCCCGCCCUGAGAGCGCCCCUCCCCCACCCAGCGGACACCGAGGGGGAGGGGAGGGGGCGGGGCCGCCCCUCCCCCACCGGACCCGGCGAGGGGCGAACCCCGAAAACUCCGUAAAAAUCCCCAAAAAAACGCACCGAAAAUCCCGGAAAAAAACCCAAAAUAUCCUAAAAAAUAAUAAAAUAUGAUUUUCGAAAAAAAUUAUUAAAAAUUCCCAAGAAAAUCCCGAAUCGUUCCCCAAAAACACCCACCCGGAAAGACCCGAAAAAAAUUCUCAAAAAAUAAAAAAAAAUCCCGCAAAAUACCCCCAAAAAAAUCACCAAAAAAAAUCCCAAGAAAUAAAAUAAAAAC